rnacentral:rRNA from 1 species
CCCUUAGAUGUUCUGGGCCGCACGCGCGCUACACUGAUGCAUUCAACGAGCCUAUCCUUGACCGACAGGUCCGGGUAAUCUUUGAAUCUGCAUCGUGACGGGGAUAGAUUAUUGCAAUUAUUAAUCUUCAACGAGGAAUGCCUAGUAGGCGCAAGUCAUCAGCUUGCGUCGAUUACGUCCCUGCCCUUUGUACACACCGCCCGACGCUCCUACCGAUUGGGUGUGCUGGUGAAAUGUUCGGAUCGGCCGUUUGUCGCGGUUUCCGCGGCUCGUGGCUGAGAAGUUCAUUAAACCCUCCCACCUAGAGGAAGGAGAAGUCGUAACA